rnacentral:rRNA from 1 species
GAUGAACGCUGGCGGCGUGCCUAAUACAUGCAAGUCGAGCGAACGGACGAGAAGCUUGCUCCUCUGACGUUAGCGGCGGACGGGUGAGUAACACGUGGAUAACCUACCUAUAAGACUGGGAUAACUUCGGGAAACCGGAGCUAAUACCGGAUAAUAUUUUGAACCGCAUGGUUCAAAAGUGAAAGACGGUCUUGCUGUCACUUAUAGAUGGAUCCGCGCUGCAUUAGCUAGUUGGUAAGGUAACGGCUUACCAAGGCAACGAUGCAUAGCCGACCUGAGAGGGUGAUCGGCCACACUGGAACUGAGACACGGUCCAGACUCCUACGGGAGGCAGCAGUAGGGAAGCUUCCGCAAUGGGCGAAAGCCUGACGGAGCAACGCCGCGUGAGUGAUGAAGGUCUUCGGAUCGUAAAACUCUGUUAUUAGGGAAGAACAUAUGUGUAAGUAACUGUGCACAUCUUGACGGUACCUAAUCAGAAAGCCACGGCUAACUACGUG